rnacentral:lncRNA from 1 species
GACUUGUCAAUAAUUGUAAGUUGAUUAUUAAGUGCCUUUACCUUAUUGACAUGAGCCAUGAGGUCAUCACCUUCUUCCAUCUUGCAAGCGAAGAAUUUUCUCUUUAUAAAGAUGAUAUUGGAUAAGUUCUUGCUUUGAUAUAUGUUAUAAAGGAUCUUCCAUGCUUCUACUCAUCCUUUGCAAGAGAUGAUGUGAGAAAAAUUAGCUUCAUCCAAAUUGCUGGCAAUCAUGCCAAAAGCCUUCUUUUCAUGUCUUGUAAAGUCCUUCUUCUUUUUAGCAUGAGCAUGCAUGCUUAGAGGCCCUUCAAUUUCAUCUACAAUAUUCCAAAGGUCCAAAGAUGCCAAUAAAAGUUCCAUUUUUACCUUCCAAUGGUAGAAAUUGUCACCUUUAAAAUUCUCAAUCACUCUCAAACCUUCACCUUUACUAGAAGCCAUGUGUAAGAAUAGAUCUAUCAAAAAUAUCAAGAAAAAAGAGUCUCUAUGUACUUAAAAUCACCAAAAUAAUUUUGCAUUGGCAAAAUCUCAGAAUGCCCUCUUGUGAACAAAUGAGUGUUUCUUUACUCCAAAUACUUCCAACUCAACUUUCAAAGCUUUUAAUAAGUACGUGGACUCCAA